rnacentral:rRNA from 1 species
UCGCUACUACCGAUUGAAUGGCUUAGUGAGCUCUGUGCGCAUCGGGGGCAACUCCGAAGCGUGAUGGGAAGCAGAUCAAACUUGAUCAUUUAGAGGAAGUAA